rnacentral:rRNA from 1 species
UACGGGAGGCAGCAGUGGGGAAUAUUGCACAAUAGGCGCAAGCCUGAUGCAGCCAUGCCGCGUGUAUGAAGAAGGCCUUCGGGUUGUAAAGUACUUUCAGUCGUGAGGAAGGUGUUAAGGUUAAUAACCUUAGCAAUUGACGUUAGCGACAGAAGAAGCACCGGCUAACUCCGUGCCAGCAGCCGCGGUAAUACGGAGGGUGCGAGCGUUAAUCGGAAUUACUGGGCGUAAAGGGCACGCAGGCGGUUAAUUAAGUUGGAUGUGAAAUCCCCGGGCUUAACCUGGGAAUGGCAUUCAAGACUGGUUAGCUAGAGUCUUGUAGAGGGGGUAGAAUUCCAUGUGUAGCGGUGAAAUGCGUAGAGAUGUGGAGGAAUACCGGUGGCGAAGGCGGCCCCUGGACAAAGACUGACGCUCAUGUGCGAAAGCGUGGGGAGCAAACAGGAUUAGAUACC